AUCUGAGAGGCCGUGUGCUUGUGCAGAGAGGAUUUUUUUCCCUCUUUCCCUCUUCCCCACCUCCGCAGAGCGAUCCCUGUCCGCUCGCAGCUUUUUCCCAGGAUGACAGCGCCAAUCCUCAAAGGAGCGCACCGUGAAGUGUGCCUUUCGGAGAAGGGUUUCUUUUCUUUUCUUCUUUUUUUUUAAUGGACAACUUUUUUCCUCCUGCUCUCUUCUGCCCAUAACGCAUCGUCCCUCCCUUUGGCCAGUACUAUCCAUGAUUUUGGAGGCGGAGGAGGAGGGUUAUGAUGUCCACUGCUCUGGUGCUGCGCUGAAAGAGAGGCGGAUAGGCCGCUCACACAGAUGUAUGGCGGAUUUGUUAAAGCCUCUACUUGCAGGUAAAACAUAAAACACCAACACCUGGAGGGCUUUCUGCAACCUGCGGAAGCGCCAUUGUGUUCUGGAGAGUUUCAGUGACCCUCCUGUGCAAUGCUAUUCACUCUUUAGGUUUUGUAACUUUGAUUUCAACGUUCAAAGUUGUCUGAUUGUUACACAACUUUUUUGUAAAGUUGUCCUUGUCUAGGAGCUCCGGUGAUUUAUUAACCUAGAUGUAAGCAACACCGAACCAAAGCAAGCAAGUGUGUGAUGGUUUGGGUUAAAAUAUAUCUGUUUGUUGGCUUGCCGAACCUGUUAAAGUGUGUGCACCCCUCUCCCCUUUUUGCGUUCAUUCCGUUCUCCAACCCCCCGUUUCUCCACCAAAAUUAGAAUGCAUGUCAUUCACUGCAGAGAAUCGUAUGGGCCCACAUGCUGGGAAAUUCCCUUUCUCCCAGGGUUGGUGCAGAGGGGUGGAGUGUGGGGGACCAGUGCUGUUUAAUUUGGGGAAGUUCAUUUAACUCCACCAGUGAAAAGAGAUAUUGUUAAUCUGUCACUUCCUAACUUUUGCCUCCCGCAGAUGCACUUACUUUUACAUUUUUAGGUUGGACCUUAAAGGAAGAGAAGCUUUCAAUAUGUGUUAUUAAAACUUCAUCAAAAAUAUUUACAAGUAAUAUCACUACUUGCCUGGUUUUUUAAAGCAUUGUUACGGUGGCAUUUAUUAAGGCCAAUAUUCACAAAAGUGGGAUAAAUGCACACAUCAUCAGAAAAUGUUUUGAACAGCACAAAUAUAAUCACAAGAGCUUGUUUGUGAAGAGGAGGCUGGUGGGAUCCAGGUUGUUGUCCACUGCCCUUUUUCUGUUGCACUACUGGACGCUGACAUGAGCAGUGCAAUAUUAAAAGGGCAUUGGAUGAUUAAAAAGAUAGGAGACCCAAACCUCUUCUUUGCACACUUUGAACCUAUUUAAGGAGCUUAUAAAGUCGUCUUAACCUUAUAACUCUUAACCAAACAUAUCAUUCAAGUGUUUCUUGGACAUCUGCCUCUUUUAAAAGCAGGGCCGUGCCUCUUCCUCUCUUCUGAACCUGCACACGGUGUCUUAAUGUUAUAAUGAGCUUUAUCAGAGUUAGUACUUUCCUCGUUCUCUUGUAUUCUUCUUCUCCAGAAACUUGCUGUAUUUAAUAUAUUUGUUGCUAAAUAUAUGUUACACAUUCUCUGUACAAAUGAAAAAGGGUUUGAGAAAAAAAUCCUUUUCAAUUUGUACAUGACAACAAAAGCCUAAUGUGUCGAUUCUGAUACAAGAAAGUGAAAACCAGGUGAUGUUUCAGAGUUGUUUAAAACAUUCAGUAAACAAAGUCAGAAUUUUCUGCCAAUUGUUUCUUGUAUCUGGCUUUGAAGAAUUAAUGCAUUUAUUUCCCACCACAAGAAUAUUCAAAUCAAUAGUUUUCAAUUCCUUGACAAUUUAAACAUCUUUGCUUUAUUUUAUUUUCAAAAACUCCAUACAUGACACAAUUGUGAGUCUGUCAGUGAGGAACGACCAUGUGCAGACACAUGCUGAGGUCAGCUGCUUUGACAAUGUUGCACUACUGUACCAUCCAUUCUAGCAGUGCAAUAGUAUUGUCAUAGCAUUUGGCCUCAGUGCUGAAAAUAAGGGGCCCGUUAAAAAAAAAAAUCAGUGUGUGAGGAAGUGGAGCUGAUGGCUGAUGGCAGGUGGUGCCGCAGAGAGCAGGAGCCUCCUAAAACUGUUUACUCAGUGUCCUCAUGUUUGAAUUCAAACAAUUACUGAAAAUCUGCCAGGUACUUUAAAAAGAGAGGUGAAAAGAAAUUAAAAUAAUCGGAAACAAUCAGGAUUCUAGUUUUCUGAACAACGAACCUCCCCUUUCCUGCUGUUCUUCAUGUGACUGUUGCUUUGUUGUCACUUCAAACACUGCAACAGUGUGUAUUGAUAAGUAGAUGGAACAGGAAAAAGAAGCAGAAGGGGGGGUUGGAGGUCGAUGUAUGGCUCUGAGCAUCCUCGGUGGCAGCAGGUCGACGGGGGGAGGGGCCCUUCAGCAGGAAUGCAGGGCCAUUUCAGCCUCCACCCCCCCUUUUUUGCAUUUUGCCUUCUCUUUUCUUUCUCUCUCUCUCUUUAUCCCCCUGUUGAGAUUAGGUGUCAGUGCUCCUGUGUGCCUCUUGUUUGAACCCUCUGGUAAAAGAGCAAAUAAGUUUGUUUGUUUUGAUGACUGUGCCAGUGUUAAAGUGGGUGGGCGCGUUUAACCGCAGUCCGGUUGCUGUUAAAAGCUGCCUUGAGAAGGACACUCGAGUCAUUAUUAAAAACAGACAUAUUCAGGGGGGCCUCUGAUGGCCGUGCUGCAGUAAAAGGUUACAUUUCCUUGGGGAAAUUCAAUUUGGAGAAGUUCACACUGAAAGGAGAAAGCAAAAAGGAAAACUUCAGUCAUUUCACUUGUGUGAAAUUCUCUCCGAGUAAAGAACGUGACUUGUUUAGGCUUGCUUUGCAAUGCUUGCUGGGAAAUCCUGGAAUGUGUGGAAUGGGGGACGGUGGUGCUUCUGCAGUUAUCUGACUGCAUGGAGCAGCAAUGGAGCCCAACAUGUCAGCAAGUGUGCUCUUCUAUGUGCUGCUUUUGAGUUUGAAUGUGUUCAGCUAAGUGAUCUGAACGAAGCAUCUGCAUUUCUGUAAAUAAAAAGUGAACUCAUGAAGUUCAAAAUGUUUGCUCUGGAAGGGUUUGUUAGGAUUUAGGUGUAAAUGUGUUUUUGCUUGUUGGCUGCUUUCAGGUACUUCAUUUUAAAAGAUUAAAUCAUUGUGAGCAUGUUUAUGCCAGCAAAAUUGAAAUCUAUAUAUUUCACAUGGCUGUAAAUAAAAAACUAUUUUACUUAUGCAUAUUUAUGUAUUUGUAAGGACUCUUUUUUUAGUUGUUUUAUCCAUGUUUUAACCAAAGCUGUUUUUUUUUUCUUAUCUUAUUUGAAUAAAGACAAAUAAAGAUCAUACAAUUCA